rnacentral:lncRNA from 1 species
UUGAUUCCUUGGUUGGAUAUGGUAACAAUGUAACUGAGCUCCAUGCUUGGGGAAGGGUUUCCAUUUUUUAGCAUUCUGAAAUUCCAGAAGCAAGUCAAGCUUUGUAUUUUUACCAAAUCGGAGCUUAUGUGAAUACUUCAGGGAGUGAUUGGGUUGCAAAAUGUGCUGGGAAAACAAGAUCUUUGACUGGUUAUAACCAAGUGAGCUAUCUAAGGAAGAAAAAGAUACUCAGUAAACUAUGGCAGUGACAGGGUGGACGGUAAGCUUAGCCCAGCAAGAAAGCAGACAUGGAAUAUAAACACAAAUAUUCAUAUUUCAAAUUUAAUAAUGCAAACCAACUCUCCAUGCCCCCAAGGGCCAGAGUCAUUCAUUGAUACCAAGAGUUCUAGGUUCCAAUGGUCACCAUGGAGCAAGAAUAUGACUGGUUCCAUUUUCUCCCUUGUCUGAUUGGUUUUGGAGCUGCUGUCAAUGGCUCCCUUCUCCAAGAAAUUGACCCAAUGUCACCACAUAUGUGUCUGUCAUCUUGCAAAGUUGGAACCUAAUGUGUUUACAUGUAUCUGGCAAGAGAGAAGCAUAGACAUAACUCUUAGAGAUCCAUGCUCUAGACAUUUCUGCCCAGCUCUGAGUCCUGGGGAGUCUGCAGAGAGCAUUUCUCAGGCACCCUGGCUAUCUCAGUUUGAGGUCAGAGGACAAGAGGAAGGAGACAUGAGGAAGUUGUGGGGAGAGGUUUCUUUCCUGCUCCCUCAUUGCGUGGCAAGUGCUCUCCUCUGUAAGGCAAGUCCCAGUCCUGAAGCCCUUCCUCUGCUGCCCCAGAUUGACCUGGGUUUCAUGAACACUGUUUCCCCCUUUGACCUUUUGAAUGUAAAGAGGUAGUAACAGCUUCUUGUGCAUCAUCAUCCUUUAUUUUUCCCCUUAAGCUCGUCUACUCUUCUGAACGCAGAACCUCACCAGAGGCUCUUCAUUUGAGUGAUCUGGGUGAAUUCUGUUUCCUUCCUGGAUUGUGAUUGAUAAAAUUGGUGACUAAACAUCUGCCGAAAGCACAGUUCCAGCACAUGUCCCAGAAAGAAGAAGAAUGGAGAAAAAGACGAGGAAAAGCGUCUUCUCCCUUUUCUGAAUGAAGACUUGGACCCUGUGACAUUUUUGAAGACCAACAGUUUGCUUGGGCACUUUUCCAGCUCUUGUUUUCACUCCUAUCAUACAAUCAGAUUUAUGUAAUUAAGAUUUUCCCGUGUCCAACUGUACCCACCCUCUUUGCACAAUCAGGUGAUAGCAGAAGUGCCUUGGGGUGGCUUUGAGGGGAUGAUGUUCACCUCCUUGACAACCUACCCCAGCCUUCCCCUUUGAUACGAAGAUCUGACAUUUUCUCAACCUGUGCAAGUCUUCAGAGAAUGCCACUAUCCCUGUUUUCAACUUCUAAACUGAUUGUCAAGUCUAAGCUCCUCCUAUGUAGUAUUCUUGAGCUGCCCCUGCCAUUAUGUCUUCUCUGUCUGCCCAAGAUCAGUAGAUGAGAAUUGUAUCUAUAACAUUAUUAACAAGACCCUGGAACGGGUCAUGUACCCGCCUGGUGUUGUGAGUCCCACACCUUCUACCUAGACCAGAACUCCAACGCAGAUGAAGCUGUUAGGCAUUGCACAAAGGGAGUUAAUUGGAAGGACUCUUGUCUUCUAUAAACUGAAGAUAUAGCGUGCAAACAUAAAUCAAUAAAUGGUGAAUUAAAUACUAGUAAAGUUACUGU